AUCUGACCGACAAGUCCAAAAUAUAACGAAACACGUGUCCUAGAU
rnacentral:hammerhead_ribozyme from 1 species